UGGCCCCAUUUAUUAUUUCUUUGAUGCGAGGAACUCCUUGUGUUAUAUUCAUGCUUGCAACUCCAGCAAAGUGAAAUGUCUUCAAUGUCAUUUGUGUUCCAGGCUCUCCUAUACUUUGAGCACCAAUUGCACCAAUUGCAGUCCCAGGUUCCACUCUUUUCCAAAGAUAACGAUCUAUGCAGGUUCUCAAAAAAACCUGUAGCUGUCUUUCAGUAGUACCAAAUAUCUUAUG
rnacentral:misc_RNA from 1 species